rnacentral:misc_RNA from 1 species
AAGUCGUAACAAGGUUUCCGUAGGUGAACCUGCGGAAGGAUCAUUAACACGUUAUCCAUACGUUAACCAACGAGAAUUGUUUUCACGCUCCCUUCACGGAGAAUGAGCGGGGUUCGUAGAGGUGUUGAAAGGGAUUGUUUCGGCAGUCAGCCUCUAUCUACUAUUUUUGUAUUACAGAAAUGUUUGCAAAGACGCUGUAUCUUUUGUGGAGAUUAAUCUCGCCAGAGCUCCCCUUUCAUUGAGAGCUGGUCGGGAACUAUAUUAACUUAUUUCACCUUUUUUGCUAGUUGACUUUUAUAUGUUGAACACUAUACAUUGUGUUUUGUUCACACGUUUAUUAUUUGAACGUUAAAAUUACAACUCUUAGCAAUGGAUAUCUUGGUUCUC